rnacentral:rRNA from 1 species
AGAUUGAACGCUGGCGGCAUGCCUUACACAUGCAAGUCGAACGGCAGCACGGGAGCAAUCCUGGUGGCGAGUGGCGAACGGGUGAGUAAUACAUCGGAACGUGCCCAAUCGUGGGGGAUAACGCAGCGAAAGCUGUGCUAAUACCGCAUAAGAUCUACGGAUGAAAGCAGGGGAUCGCAAGACCUUGCGCGAAUGGAGCGGCGAUGGCAGAUUAGGUAGUGGUGAGGUAAAGCUCACCAAGCCUUCGAUCUGUAGCUGGUCUGAGAGGACGACCAGCCCACGACGUGGGACUGACGACGUACCGGCCCAGACUCCGUAACGGGAGC